GUGUCUACAGUGCUCUAUUUUGAGUAGAAACAGUGUUUAUUCUCUCUACUGCUGAUCAUAAUAAUAUCAGUUCAGAUAUACUGGCAAAAGCUAGGCUGACAUUUUCUUUAAUUUUGUAGUUCUAAAAGCCAGAUAUGUUGCUAAAGUAACGUUGGAUUAGUCCAGUUCUUGCUGUCAUCAUUUGACAUAACUACAGAGUUUACCCAUUAGUUCUGCUUCUAGCUGCCAGACCCAAUUGAUUUUCAGUGUGUCUUUUCCAGACUAAUAUUGUGUGAAAACCGUGCUUGCAGGAUCCACUUAGACUUCUGUUAGGAUAAUAUUUUUCAAGCUGUCUGAGCAGGUAUCCUGGAAAUUUGGGUAAAGGGAUGAGUAGUAUAGUGUCACAGCAGGGGGCUGUCUGGAUGUAAGAGGAAAUCUUUUCUUUUUUUUUUUUUUUUUUUUUUUGCUUGAUUGACUGUGGUGAGACUGAGGCUCUGCACUUUGCUGUGUGUGGAUUCUUGUCCACAGCUCUUAGCAGGCUUCAGGGGAGACUGAUGGAAAAUGGUUUUGGAGAAAUGGGUCUCUUUCAAGGUACAGUAUGUCUUAAGCAAUUGAAGCAAGGCUGCUGAAGUGUAAGCACCUGCUUUCGCAUCUCGCAUGCAGGGGCAGGGUGCUGAUAAUAAACAACUUGGCAGCUGUCUGCCUGUGACCUCAUGCUUAAUGCCCCUUGCAGGCUCCUGGCAGAGAUCCAAGCUGGUGGACGCUUUCCGGGCUGGGCGUCUUUGGCUUGACAUGACUUGAAGAGUCUGGUGGCAGCUUUCCAGGAUCAGGCAACAUAGACCAAAAUGCUAAGUUGGGUCAUGGAUAGUAAAGGAUAGAAGGCACAUCUGACAUCAGCCUACCACCACAAAUGGAGGAAAGCAUCUAUAUUUUGAUUAAAGAAACUAAUCAUUUUUUAUAACCAAAACGUGUUUGUUUUUUUGGUCUCUAGAUUUUUGCUGUCUGCCUGGGGAAAGAUGUGUAAAUCAUAGUGUGAGACAUAAAACAUAAACAUAGAGAAUUAGAAAAACAAUGGAUAUCUGCAGCUAUUCUUUGUUAACUGGGAGGAGCGCAACGCCACAGGUUUCAAAGUACAUCUUUUUUUGUGGCUGAAUUGACAGGAAUGAGAUGUGGCCUCUAUAAAAAUAAAAAUGUGUUUUUUUUUGUUUUUUUUUUUUCUACUAGCUGCAUUGCAAAACCAAAGUCACACCUUUGGGAGGGUUUUGGUAAAUGCAGUUAGAUGCAGCAAUGUUUAGUGUGGUAUGUGAAAUACUCAGAGAAAGUUGGGCUCUAUACUUGAAAUCCUGCGAGCAUUAUUUCAGCCACGCUAGCUUUGUGGGUCUAUGGCUGGUCAGUUUAUCUUUACUUUAAUCUAGACUGAAAUAUGUCAAGAACUGGAGGGGCCCCCAUUAAGUAAAGUGCUAAAUAAUGUUAGAAUACCGCCAAGCUAUAUUAGAAAAAACGUAGUUCAACAUAAUCAGAAUCAGAAUCAGAAUACUUUAUUGAUCCCUGGGGGAAAUUAUUUUUUGUUACAGUGCUCCAUUUUAAACCAACAUUAAGACAAGACAGACAAUACACUAACUAAGAAUAGUACAAUAUAUACAUACAUACAUAAGUCACUCAUAAAUAAAUAGUUGGAAAAGAAACAUGUGUAGUUGUAGCAGCAAACAGUGUGUUAAGUGGAUGCGUUGUACAGGGAG
ensembl:lncRNA